rnacentral:rRNA from 1 species
GAUGAACGCUGGCGGCGUGCCUAAUACAUGCAAGUCGAGCGAACAGACGAGGAGCUUGCUCCUCUGACGUUAGCGGCGGACGGGUGAGUAACACGUGGAUAACCUACCUAUAAGACUGGGAUAACUUCGGGAAACCGGAGCUACUACCGGAUAAUAUAUUGAACCGCAUGGUUCAAUAGUGAAAGACGGUUUUGCUGUCACUUAUAGCUGGAUCCGCGCCGCAUUAUCUAGUUGGUAAGGUAACGGCUUACCAAGGCAACGAUGCGUAGCCGACCUGAGAGGGUGAUCGGCCACACUGGAACUGAGACACGGUCCAGACUCCUACGGGAGGCAGCAGUAGGGAAUAUUCCGCAAUGGGCGAAAGCUUGACGGAGCAACGCCGCGUGAGUGAUGAAGGUCUUCGGAUCGUAAAACUCUGUUAUUAGGGAAGAACAAAUGUGUAAGUAACUAUGCACGUCUUGACGGUACCUAAUCAGAAAGCCACGGCUAACUACGUG